GCUGGGAUGGCGGAGUGGCAACGCGCCAGCCUGGAGAGCUGGUUCCCGCAAGGGUUCGUGGGUUCGAGUCCCACUCCCAGCG
rnacentral:tRNA from 1 species